rnacentral:rRNA from 1 species
GAUGAACGCUAGCGGCAGGCCUAAUACAUGCAAGUCGAGGGAGAAGUUUUGUGCUUGCAUAAAUGGAAACCGCGAACGGUGCGUAACACGUAUGCAACCUACCUAUAACUGGGGGAUAGCCCGAAGAAAUUCGGAUUAAUACCCUAUAAUAUUUACUCACCGCAUGGUGAGUAUCUUAAAACUCCGGUGGUUAUAGAUGGGCAUGCGGCUUAUUAGUUUGUUGGUGAGGUAACGGCUCACCAAGACUACGAUAAGUAGGGGGUCUGAGAGGAUGAUCCCCCACACUGGUACUGAGACACGGACCAGACUCCUACGGGAGGCAGCAGUAGGGAAUAUUGGACAAUGGACGAAAGUCUGAUCCAGCCAUGCCGCGUGCAGGAUGACGGCCCUAUGGGUUGUAAACUGCUUUUAUAUAGGAAGAAACCCUCGCUCGUGAGCGAGGCUGACGGUACUAUACGAAUAAGGACCGGCUAACUCCGUG